UCCGCCGCCAGUCAGUCACCUUUUACCAGCAGAGAGGGAAGUAUCGUUUUGGGGGUUUUAGGAAAACAAAUCUGAAGACAGCGGCACAGAAUUGAAGCAGUACACCGAGCUCAGCGGGAGACGGUAACUAUCCACUGCAUCUGGAGGAAAGUCAACGUGCAGGGAAACAUUCACGGGUGCGCGGAAGUUUGUGUUUACUGAUGUAGUAGCUAGCUGGUUGGCCCUGUUAGCUUGUUAGCGAGGAAGGUGCGCGCUGCUCAGACUGCUGGACUUCAACAUUUACAACUAGCCCAACUUAACAGCCAAGUUAGACAACUGUCCUGUUUGUGGUUAUAACAUUUAAAAACGAUUUGGCAGAUGUUGCGGUGGCUUGUAGGUUUGGCAAACUCUUGUAACGUCAGUGCGGGCCACGAGCUUUGAAUCUUGUGGGGUCGUGUCACACACAGACAGCACUGACACAUAAAGAGAGAAAACGCAUAUAAAGCCACGAUCUUUAAAGUAAAGAUCACUGCAGUCAAACAUCCAAGCGUCCCUGUCUCUGCUGAUACGGAUGACCUAUAGGUUUGCAACAUUGGCGCUGCGACCCGUCCUCCUCUUCGGACCUAGUUCAUCGUCUUCGCCCGUGAUGGGCCCCCUGCUCAGCUAGUACGACGCGUGGAAACAAUCCGCAGCCCUCUAACCAUGGGAGGAUGUGUGGGGAGAUACUGGGAAGGCUGGGAGGACACACAGAGCCGAGGCUCGUCCAGGAACGGUGGACGAGGAGGACGUAACGAGCCUCUGAAGAAAGAGCGUCCCAAGUGGAAGAGCGACUAUCCGAUGACAGAGGGCCAGCUACGGAGCAAGCGGGACGAGUUCUGGGACACGGCGCCGGCCUUCGAGGGCCGUAAGGAGAUCUGGGACGCCUUGAAAGCUGCAGCCGUGGCCUUGGAGUGCAACGACCACGAGCUGGCCCAGGCAAUAGUGGAUGGAGCCAGUAUCACACUGCCACAUGGUACUCUUGCGGAGUGUUACGAUGAACUCGGGAACCGCUACCAGCUGCCCGUCUACUGCCUUGCUCCACCUGUCAACCUCAUCUCAGAGCGCAAUGACGACGACCCAGGCGAUAGCCCCGAACCUCCUGUAGCACCCAAGAAGGAGUUCCAGCUCAAGGUACGACUUUCCACAGGCACAGACCUGCGCCUCAGCGCCAGCAUGGCUGACACCAUAGGGCUACUAAAAAAGCAGCUGCAGGCCCAGGAGGACAUUGACGCCGCCCACCAGCGCUGGUUCUUCUCCGGGAAGCUGCUCACGGACAAGACGCGACUGCAGGACACUAAGAUCCAGAAGGACUUUGUCAUCCAGGUCAUUGUCAACCCGCAGGCCCUCCGAGGCCCCAAGCUGUCACCCACCAACACUGCCUCAUUGCCUGCAUCUGAAUAACGGAGGACACAGAGGACAGAUGGAGGGAUGGUGCAGUAGGUAGUGAGGUGGUUGGCAGACACUUCAGGACCAGAGGUGCCUCCCUAUUGCUGGAUAACUUAUACUUUUUAAGAAAAGUUAUUGUUAUUGAAAUAAAAUCAUACUGUGGAGGUACAAAACUACUUUGGAGCAAAAACACGAGGAAGAAACUCAAAAGUGCUGCUUUCUGUCAUCUGCCACGUGUCAUUAUAGUUUGGGGUUCUGCUGGGUUGUUCUUUAAGUGAAUCCAGUCACCACACUAAUGCUGGAGCUCCUCGUCCCCUUGUCUCUUUGAACCAUCUCGAAUUAAAAGCAGAACUCGUCAUGCUGGUGUGCAGCCAUUUCAACCACAUACAAAACAUGCACAUCACGCUGCACAUGCAGACUCCGCCUCUGCCCUUUUAUCUGCAUUAAUGCUAACUAAGUGCCAACAGAUGAACUGCAGAGGUGUUUGUGUUGGUUCUAAAGCACAUUUCCACUAUGACGCCCAUGGACUCUGCGCUGCAAUCCUUUCCUCCUCCACAGAAACAGGAGGGGAAGGCGGAGAGGGAGAUUCUGAACUUCUUUUUUCCUUCUUUCUUUUAUUGAGGAAAUAAUGUAAACAGAGCUUUUUUGCACAUUUGAAGAUUAUAACUAUACUUUUGUGGUAGUUUGUGUGCCUUCUACAAAAUGAAACAAAAAAGGGUUAAUGUCCGGAAAGACACUAGUGUUACCGCUAGGCAAAGCCUUCUGUAUUUUUUUAGAUUCAGGAACUCUUAGAUCAAUCCAAGCUAUAACUGCUGCCUUUUUUAAUGAUUUCAAGAAUAUUGCAAACAAAACAUUUAAUGUGUGAGUGCUGGCAGGUGUGUGCGUGUGCGUGUGUGUGAGCGUAUGUAUGUAUAGGUAUAUGCAUUUGGCCCAUAUGAUACAUUUCAGUACCACUUAGCUCAAAGACAAGACUGUUUCCCUGGUCGUAGCUUUUCAGUCAAUCAUAUCAAAUUGUGCAGGGAGGGCAAAAUUCCCCCACAAAAAAAUACGAUCUUAAAAGCUGCAUUAUUGACCACUUAAUGACCACCAGACCACUAGGGGGCAACAACACAGCCCUGAUGUAGUCAGUUCAGUUGCUUAGGGCUUGUUGUCCCUUUUCUCACCACAUGAUGAAAGUAAAAUCAGUAUUCAUUCAUCCUCAUCAACUUGAUGUGGUCCUCAAAGAAAAGUAUCUGUCACAUUUGUUCGCUCAGUGUUUGACUUUCUUCACCAGCAUAUAAACGGCUUGUGUGAGCCUGUUUGCCAGAAAUGCCUGCCUACAUGUUUUGGACAUAGUCUGUGUAAAGAAAGUGGACGUAGCUGCCGGGUCUGAAAAGCAAGCCAGUGUGGAAGUUCCUUAACCCUGCAUUUUUUCUAAUGGCCAGGAGGGGGUGACUCUACUGCUUGCAGAGAGAAGUAUAAUUGUAUAGAAGUCAAUGUGAAAACGACCCUACUUCUAACUUGAUUUAUUACCUCCGUAAACAUCUUCCCUAAGAGUUUAUGGUCACAGUCACUAGUUUCAAGUCUUCUUCAAUACAGUACGAUGUUCAUUUUGUAAAUAAUAUUCUCAUUUAAUUAAACAAGGUACGCUUACUAUCUUGUGAUUGACGGGUCACUACCAUGGCUAUCUGUCCAUCAAGAGAGGUGUAGCCAUGCGUAUCCAUCAGAUCCACUCUCUUGUCCAAAUAUGAUCACUUAUGGCUCCAAAAAAAAACAGCUAAAAUGCUAAACUCGGCUUCACAAUGGUCGUCCACAAACCAAUGGGUGACGUCCCAGUUGCUACUUCCACUUCUGUUACACUGUCUAUGUUUUUUUGUUUGGGAUUGGUGAGAACCAUCAGGAGUCUAUGUGGAGCGGUGAAUCAAAACAAUGAGCUGAGGGCCACAAAGAGCGUUAGCAUCAGGUGUUGAUUCUCAGUGGAACCGGCAGUGCUAACAACUCGCAUAGGAAGUUAUUUAUUUUAGUGUUUUAUUAAGAAAUAUCACAUAAAGGGACAGUCCACAGAUUUAGACAUGAUUUGAUUUGACAUUAAAAGCAGAUGUUGGACGAGUGACGGUCAUCAAUUUCAUAUAAUUUUUCAUUUCACUUAUGUUACCUCUCAGUUGACAGCAUCCUGUUAGCACCAUACACCUGCAUCAACGUUAGACUUUUUGUUGUGUCUGGAGGGCAAAGGGAGGGACACUGUUUUAAAUAUUUUGUGACUAUCAACUGUUUGUUUGCUUGAGCAGAAACGUUGCUUAAAUAAAAUAAAAGAUAAAUAUGUACCUCUUAAAAGUCAGGUAACACAGUCAGUGUUUGAAAAAGCCAUUUUAUCAGUACUUGCCUUUAACAUGUAUGUACAAGUACAGCCUCAGUGAUUCUGACUGGUCAUCAUUGUGCAGCAAAAGAUUAUUGUUUUGGAUUGUUCUUCCAGCUUUGUCACUAACCACAUUGGCUGCCGGAGAACAGAAACAAAUCAGCCACAGACAAAAUUGCCUUGAAUCAUAUACUGGCAGCUGAUGGCUGAAGCUCCCAUCAGGCCUGACAGUCUGAUUGGUAAAACACAUGUACACAAGGUGGCUACAUUCACACUGCAGCUCAACUUGCACAGCUGAGAUAUUCCCCCCUCACAUGUGACAUAUCAGAUUUUUGUCUGAGCGCUGUGAACAUCGAAAGCUGCAUUUAGUUUCUUGCUCCCAGAUCAUAUGGACAUGUAAGAAAUUAUAUCUGGCAGCAUGCAGACGUUUCUCUGAACUCUGAAUUCACCUUGAGCCUGAGACAUUUAUGAUAUGUUUGACUACACUGCAGCUUCUUUGAGCAGUGUGUUAGAACGUAAAGAAACAUGACCCAACCCAGGAAGCUGAUUGUUUUGCUGUUUCACAUUUCUAGUGUGUCAUUUUAAAGGUCCAGUGUGUAGGAUUGAGGGGCAACUAUUGGCAGAAAUGGUAUAUAAUCUUAUUAACUAUGUUUUCAUGAAUUUAUAAUAAUCUGAAACUAGUUAUCAUUCUGUUUUUGUUACCUUGGAAUGUGCGAUUUCUUUCUACAUAAGGAGCGGGUCCUCUUCCAUGGAGGCUGCCAUGUUAUUUCUACAGUUGCCCAGAACAGACAAACCAUUUAUGUUUUGAUGUUGGCCACCAUAGUUCUCCUACACGCUUGGCUCGUGGGCGACAUUUCAGUCGGUAGCAAUGUUGCAACCUAAAUACUAAAUGUCAUUAAAUCCUACACCCAAGACCUUUUAAGUUUUGAAAUAUCAAAGAUUUUAAGGGGUUCACAGAUCCAGAUAGAAAAUUCAAGUGUCCAGGGUUUUGAGUUGCUUAUCUGAACUUCUCUUUAUAGGAUCACAUUAUUAGGGCUGUGGAGCGAUUUUUUUUUUUUUUUUUUUUUUUUUUUAAAAAAAGGAUCUAAUUCAUUACAUGCUCUGUGAUUAAUCUAAAAUUGCAUUACAUCAUUUUUUGCUGUCAGAGUAUUUAAAAAAAAUGUCAGUUCAAUUUAAUUCCAACGGAUGUGUUGUGGUAAAGCUGCUGGAUUUUAGACACAAUUGUCUCCCUGUCCUCUACAACCAAAACUGGUUUGCAGUCCAUUGCAAUCCAUUUUGCAAGUUAGUCGGUCACAGGUAGACUUGCUGAGAUUGCGUGUGAACGCCUGGUCGAGUGUGGCUUGCCGAGGCUGACGGCUAGCGCUAGCAUCAGAGGCUAUGCUAGUUCAAACCUCCAGGUUCGCUGCUAAAUGCUUUGCUAAGAAGUGAUAUUUCAGGCUUUAAGUACUCCAAUGUUAAGAUAAUUCCUUACUGCAGAAAUUGCAGUGGUGCUCCUAUCAACAGUUCCAUCGGGGCGUUUUUUAAAUGUAAGUGUUCAUUCACGGGGCCAAGCAACGUUGUCUUGUCUGCCUCCAUCAUGUGACACCGCUACUGUGGCCUUCAAUGACGCACCAGAUCAAAGGGCAUCAUUUUUUCUGUGAUGAAUUAAAUUGAAAUUAACAAGUUAUUUUUGACAGCCCUGGUUAUUAUCACUGGAAGGAAGAAGUUCAUUUCGCAUCUUUAAUUUAGGUGCCUUAAUUUAUAACAACUUGAGAGACUUUACUUUUGGCUUAAUGACUGAAUUUGAGAGUUAUGUUUUUUGAAAUAUGGGACGCUUGGAAUUUCUAUCUAUUUGUGAACCUUUAAAAAAAACACAGACAACAAAAGUUCAAGUUUAUGAAAUUGCAAAACUAACACAAAUGUUGCCCACAAUACAUUUCAAAGAGAGAAAUUCAGCCCACAUGUAUCCUAUCCCAGAGACUAGAGAUGCAAAGAUACAAAAAUCUCGUCUUUGCAUGACUGUCGCUUCCAGGUCAUGUUCAGGUCAGAUUUGGGUUACAUCCCAGAAUAGAUAUUCAGGCACUUCAGGGCUGGGAAUCACGACCUGCUUUGUGAAUGUAUCCUGUAUUGUGCUCGUCAUGGUUGAACGCUCACAGUUAAGUAUUUGCUGUUUCUCCCUCCACACACCAAUCUGUAGCUGGAUGUGCCUUGUUUUCAUUCACCGCUCCUGCCACAAUAUUUUCAAGCAGUUUGAUCAUGGAGGGGAUAAAAUGAAACCAUCAGAGUGAAACCUAACUGAGCCACAGCUCACCACAUGAAGAAAACAUUUCAUAUUAUAUAAAAAUAUCAUUAUUUUGUGUCUUUUCUGUGCAGUUUCAGCCUUGACGCUGAUCACAAUCACUCUGUCUGUUACUUCCAGGCCUCAUUUUGCUGUUCUUGUACCAAUGGUUCUUCUGGGGGAUAUUUCGUAAUCAUUAUUUCAUACAGCACCAGCUAUGAGUAUUCAAGAAAUGUCAGUCAACAGGUCCAAGCCUGCUACAAUCUGACGCCUCGUGUCAGACAAUCAGCUGUUUCCAUGUUUGUCACUUUGAAAUGUAUUCGUCUUCUGAUGGCCUCUCAUCUUUCACAGAGUAAAUAUCUAAAUAUUAAAAAUGCCUACACAA